rnacentral:tRNA from 1 species
GCCUGGGUGGCUCAGUGGUUGAGCGUCUGCCUUUGGCUCAGGUCGUGAUCCGGAAGUCCUGGGAUUGAGUCCCACAUCAGGCU